rnacentral:lncRNA from 1 species
ACAACCAGAUGUUAAUAAUACAUAGUGGUUACAACAAAUCCUUCUAUACUGAAAUUACACAAAUACAACUCCCGACAUAGAGAAGAUGCUUGGUCAACAGUACACACACAAACAUAAGUUACAACAGAAGGAAGCUGGCACUGAAACCGGCACAUGGUCCAGUAAAUGAAGGAACAUAAGAUGAUAAGAAGCUGAAAUCUAGUAGAGUCCGCAAAUCCAAGAUUCAUUCAAAACCAUGUGACGGAAGUAUCACCAGAGGACUAGGAGAUUCAGACCAAAGCACUACACCAUAAUCUGACAGAAGACCUUAAGGUACCACCAGAUAAACACGCAUCAGUAGCACAUCAGUAAGAAAACCACAACUUAGAGCAUACAUCCAUGGCCCUCAAAGCAAGAAUAGUACUUAGAAGAAUCUUCAAGCAGAUGGCUUCACAUGUAGCUAGCACUAAACUACACUGCACAGAUAUAGCAAUUAUAAAACCCACAUUCUGAAUUUCCUUGAAAUGAACCUUUCAAUUGAGCUGACUAUUUGAUAAUGAUAGAACAACAAGCCACCUUCAUGAGUGUGUCAAGAGUACUGAAUCAAAAUCCUGUUAUAGUACUGAAUCAAAAUUCUGUUCUAACAGCCAAAUAAAGCAUCGCUAUGUCAACCAUGAAUCCAUGAUUCAUACAGUGCGUGGAUCUGCAUACACCUCACAACCAGCACCAAAUAAUCCGACCAAUACUGCUUGCCGAAAUAAACAGCAAAUUGACACCAUAUACUUGUAAAUUCCAAACACACCUAAGCAAUCAUAUCUUAUCAUAACUAAACCUUCUGAUGAGACUGACUACCAUGAGAGGAACAUGCCAAAUGCAAAAACCGCAGAAUUCUGAGCACUCCACUUGCCUCCAUAUUCCAAUAACAAGUAUCAGGUACAGUUUCCAUCACAAAAAUUAUCCUGAACAGACCAAUCAUCAUGCAAACCAGAGACAGAUCGAGACCAAACCCUUCAGAUUAUCCUGUUUCGGCCAAGCCAAAUUUUCCGUGCUACCCAAUUAAAACCGAUCUGACCUUGAACAGAAAUCGAAACAAAAGAGCUGCAGAACCUUAGAUAUCAACAAAUAGUAAUUAGUCACAAAUCAACACAAAACUAUUUCCCCAAACAGACGGAUCCUGGGGGAAGCAGGGGAAUCAUCCAACCUAGACCUGGAAUCGAACGGAUCGAGCACCGCAAAGUACAAGCAACCCAAUCUAUCCGGCUAGCCCGCGCACCUGAUCAACCAAUCGACAAAACAAACAUGAGAUCGAAAACAACUGCGGCUGGCUCACCUACGACUUACCCAUCACCAGUUCACCACGACACGAUGGAGCAAGCGACUAGGGGAAGCCCCCUCUAUACCACGCCUACCGAUUCUAUUCCACGGUGAGGAAGAGACCCGGGGGUCGGGUGGCUUUAUAGGGCGCACAGGUCGGUAGUUGAUCGUCGGUUCCCCGACGGAGUCGGUUCCG